CCGGCCUGCGGGAUCGAAGGGAAAGGAAUCCGAUCCGGGGAGGCAAGCCUGGGAGACGUCCUGAAUGAACUGGGAUUUCUUGGAGAAGUGGUAGAGCCAAGCUCUGGAACCGGAAAUACGCAAGGGAUCUCCAGCUCCAUGAAUGGUAUCUCCAUCUCUUCAGGUGACUGAGUUGGAAAUCUUGGCUUCACUCCACCAAUGACCUGAGUCAUUCUUAGAAAGUCUGAAGAAGGAGCAUGCAGCUCUGAGGGUGGCAGCAGGUCCAGGAAUUGGAAUGUGACCACAGGGGAAUUCUUCAUAAAGGGCUGAACUUUACU
rnacentral:lncRNA from 1 species